rnacentral:tRNA from 1 species
UCCGGGAUAGCUCAGCUGGUAGAGCAGAGGACUAAAAUCCUCAUGUCACCAGUUAAUAUCUGAUUCCCGGCA